rnacentral:misc_RNA from 1 species
UACGGGGGGUGCAAGCGUUAAUCGGAAUAACUGGGCGUAAAGGGCACGCAGGCGGACUUUUAAGUGAGAUGUGAAAGCCCCGGGCUUAACCUGGGAAUUGCAUUUCAGACUGGGAGUCUAGAGUACUUUAGGGAGGGGUAGAAUUCCACGUGUAGCGGUGAAAUGCGUAGAGAUGUGGAGGAAUACCGAAGGCGAAGGCAGCCCCUUGGGAAUGUACUGACGCUCAUGUGCGAAAGCGUGGGGAGCAAACAGG